GUCUUUUCGAGGUAGGAGUCGACUCCUGUGAGGUAUGGUGCUGGGUGCAGAUGCAGUGUGGCUCUGGAUAGCACCUUAUGGACAGUUGUGUCCCCAAGGAAGGAUGAGAAUAGCUACUGAAGUAAGUUGAAAAUUCCCUCUCAAAAAGGUUUAAAGCCAUUGGAUGUGCCACAAUGAUGACAGUUUAUUUGCUACUCUUGAGUGCUAGAAUGAUGAGGAUCUUAACCACCAUUAUCUUAACUGAGGCACCCAAAAUGGUGAGUUGGGGAACAUAGAGAGUACACCUAAGUUCACAUGAAGUUGUUUCUUCCCAGGUCCUAAAGAGCAAGCCUAACUCAAGCCAUUGGCACACAGGCAUUAGACAGAAAGCUGGAAGUUGAAAUGGUGGAGUCCAACUUGCCUGGACCAGCUUAAUGGUUCUGCUCCUGGUAACGUUUUUAUCCAUGGAUGACUUGCUUGGGUAAGGACAUGAAGACAGUUCCUGUCAUACCUUUUAAAGGUAUGGAGAGUCGGCUUGACUACACUGUGUGGAGCAAGUUUUAAAGAAGCAAAGGACUCAGAAUUCAUGAUUGAAGAAAUGCAGGUUAGUUUAAACUUUGAAGGAAAUUUUUAAGGUGGCAAAAGGUUUUGGUGGCAUAUACACCUUAAUCUGUAGAUGGGAGUGAUUAGCUGUUUAAAAGUUAAAAUGUGACUGAGAAGGAAAUUGAGUAGGGCAAAUUUUAAAUGGGUAUUAUUUUUCAUCUUCAAACAGGCAGACCUGUUAUCCUAAACUAGGUGAGUCAGCUUUUGGUACAUGUGAUGAUUUUCAGUGUAACCAAUGAUGUAAUGAUUCUGCCAAAUGAAAUAUAAUGAUAUCACUGUAAAACCGUUCCAUUUUGAUUCUGAGGUUACUCUACUAACAAGCAUCACACAUUUGUAUUUUGCCCUGAUUAAUAUGUUGGCUUCGCUUUCAGGGUUUUUAAUGACCACAACAAGCAAGCAUGCAGCUUACUGCUUGAAAGGGUCUUGCCUCACCCAAGCUAGAGUGCAGUGGCCUUUGAAGCUUACUACAGCCUCAAACUUCUGGGCUCAAGUGAUCCUCAGCCUCCCAGUGGUCUUUGUAGACUGCCUGAUGGAGUCUCAUGGCACAAGAAGAUUAAAACAGUGUCUCCAAUUUUAAUAAAUUUUUGCAAUCCA
ensembl:lncRNA GAS5 growth arrest specific 5